UGCCAGACUCCUACGGGAGGCAGCAGUGAGGAAUAUUGGUCAAUGGGCGGAAGCCUGAACCAGCCAAGUCGCGUGAGGGAAGAAGGCCCUGCGGGUCGCAGACCUCUUUGGACGGGGAGCAAGGCCGCCGACGUGUCGGCGGAAGGAGAGUACCCGUAGAACAAGCAUCGGCUAACUCCGUGCCAGCAGCCGCGGUAAUACGGAGGAUGCGAGCGUUAUCCGGAUUUACUGGGUGUAAAGGGAGCGUAGACGGCUGGUCAAGUCUGAAGUGAAAGCCCGGGGCUUAACCCCGGAACGGCUUUGGAAACUGAGCAGCUAGAGUGCUGGAGAGGUAAGCGGAAUUCCUAGUGUAGCGGUGAAAUGCGUAGAUAUUAGGAGGAACACCAGUGGCGAAGGCGGCUUACUGGACAGUAACUGACGUUGAGGCUCGAAAGCGUGGGGAGCAAACAGGAUUAGAUACCCCCGUAC
rnacentral:rRNA from 1 species